rnacentral:rRNA from 1 species
UACGUAGGGUGCGAGCGUUAAUCGGAAUUACUGGGCGUAAAGCGUGCGCAGGCGGUGAGCUGUGUCCGAUGUGAAAGCCCCGGGCUUAACCUGGGAAUGGCAUUGGAAACUGGCUCGCUGGAGUGUGGCAGAGGGGGGUGGAAUUCCGCGUGUAGCAGUGAAAUGCGCAGAUAUCAGGAGGAACACCGGUGGCGAAGGCGGAUCUCUGGGCCAUUACUGACGCUGAGGAGCGAAAGCGUGGGGAGCGAACAGG